rnacentral:rRNA from 1 species
UACGUAGGUGGCAAGCGUUGUUCGGAAUUAUUGGGCGUAAAGGGCGCGUAGGCGGCCGUGCAAGUGGAAGGUGAAAUCCCUCGGCUCAACCGAGGAACUGCCUUUCAAACUGCAUGGCUUGAGUCCGGGAGAGGUGAGUGGAAUUCCCAGUGUAGCGGUGAAAUGCGUAGAUAUUGGGAGGAACACCAGUGGCGAAGGCGGCUCACUGGACCGGAACUGACGCUGAGGCGCGAAAGCGUGGGGAGCAAACGGG